GCUGUUUCCUGGGAUCGGUGUCUUGGCUCCAGCCAAGGCCCUGUUCCAGGUGGUGCCCUGAAGUCAAGCUGACUUGCUUCCCAUCUUAGGGACUGUCAUCCCCAGCUGACCUCUGAGCCAUCAGGCAUAACAUUUCAUGGGAGAGUCCCAUAUUCUUCUCUGCCUUACUGUGUCUCUCCUCUUCUUUUUUUCAUUCUUUCGUCUUUAAAACUUAAUUUUUAUUGAAUUAAAGUAAUAUAUGUUUUCACCCCGGUCCCAUACUCCAGGUCAUUCUCCACACAGCAGCUGGUGGUCCUUUUAAAAUAUGUCAGAUCGUGUCAUAAUGGCUUUUCAUAUCCCUCAGUAAAAGCCAAGCUCUUAAUGGCCUUACAAGACCCUAAAUGAUCUGGGGGUAGAAGGGAUUGAGAAGAAAGUUGAAAAAUAAUCUGAGACGUACCAAGGAAGACGCAAUGUCCGUGCGGCCCAAACAAGAGGACCAGUCAUCACAGUGCUCUUACUGAGAGUGGAAUCAAUGCCAAAUUAGGUGAGCAAACAAAGAGAGUUAUGGAAAAAAAAGUAAGAUUUUCAUAGCUUCAGGCAUCAAGGAUAAUUCAUUUAUAUGUUUGGAAAAUUCUCUAAGAUGUGAGUUAUGCUUUCCAUAAAACAAAUACAAAGUACCUGGAGAGUUUAGGUAGGCAGAAUGUGAUAUGGUCUUGGCAAUGGGUAAACCCCUGGAUCAGCAAGUAUGGAAGCGCCAGAACCAUCCAGAACCUCCACUGGCGUAUUACAUUGCAAUGUUUCCACCCACUUCUUGGCUUGGGGGAGUGAGUGAAAAAAUCACGCAGUGAUCAUGAUAAUAUUUCAGCAUAAAGAAACCAGGAGAUCUAAAGUUGCUCAUUAUGAUUUUAACCUCCCUCACAUAAGUUUCUCAGCUUUUCCACCCUUACCCUUGAUUGCUUUUUACUUUUCACCUUCUUUUGUGAUGUCCCUUAGGCACAUGGGAAGAUGUGGAAUUUUCCAAGUUGACACUCGGAGAGAUGGAAUGUCCAUGUUGAUUGAACAACUAAUAUGACUCCACCCUGGAUGCCCUAAGAUAUUGCUUGAAAUCACCCAGAUAUACUUUUAAAUCAUCUAGAGCACUGAUGGCCAGUAGGGCUUUCUGUGUUGAUGGAGAUGUUCUGUCUCUGUGCUGUGUGUCAUGGCAGCCACUCGCCCUGUGUAGUAGUUGAGCGCUUGAAAUGUGGCUAGUGCGGCUGACAAAGUGCAUUUGAAAUUGUACUUAAUUUUAAUUCCUUUAAAGUUAAAUAGCCACCUGGGGUUGGUGGCUGCCAUAUUGGACAGCACAGCUCUAGAGCGAUGAUUUAUUCUUUGUUGAGAUUUGCUGUCACAGAGGUGUGCUCUAUGGUGCAGAAGGUAUUGAGUCUCACGACAGGAGAGGAGUGAAAUGGGAAUGUAGGUGGACAGGGCUGGCGUCCCACAGGCCGGAAGUCAGUCCAGCGUGGGGAGAAGGUUCGGGGCGGUGGAAGAAGCACAGUCAGCCUUUUGAAGUCGUGUGUCUGUAGGCAAGUUAGCGUAUCCGAGCCUCCUUUCCUUUGUCUGGGACGGAGGAAAACCAUGAUCCGGUGGUUGUAGUAAUGAGCCGUGCUGGGAAACGCAGAGCAUCUGCCGGGUACCUGGUAGGUGCUGACCCAACGGUAGUUAUUUUCUCCCUUCAUCUCUACCAAGGGACAGCAGUCCUGCUGGACUGGCCAGGAUGUGCCUCAGAAACUACUGAUGCAGAGGCAGGGGUGACUCCCUCCCUCAUAAGAUGAGGGCUGGAAUGAGAGGCGGGGGUCAAGGGGAGAGAAGAGACAGCAGUCUGUACAAAAGUUGUGAGAAAAAUACGGGAAAGACAGUCUCCUGUGUGUCAGGAGGAUACAGGCGGCCCUUGGGACUGGUUCAGCGAACUCAGAGUAAAAGCACUAAACGGCUGCUGCUUUAAAUACACUCGGUAGAUCAGUAUUCUUUAGUGUCAGACCACUGUGGACUUUCUUAUAGUUUAGAGCUUAUUACAAUUCUUUGGCAUUUAGAUGGAAAGGACCCUCUGUUUUCAACAGUAGUUUUGCUUCUUGGCCUUGAAUUGAAGAACCAGUAGUAAGACGCCAUCAGAUUUUUCGAGCUUCUUCAUCGUCAGGCAGCAAGCCUUGCUGUCGCGCCUCCGGUUGCCUCCCUGGAGAUAACGGGCCAUUUCACCCAGGCCGAGUCCUGCACCGUUUACCUCUGGGCUUAUCUGACCUCUCAGAAGGUACUGAGUUACCUGCCUGUUUCUCGCCCCUGCCUGGAGCCAGCUCCAGAAUGAAAUGGCCGCAUGAGCCGGGAUGAGGUGGCGGCCACGCAGCCUUCCAAACCUUCAUUCCAGUUUCUCAGGUUUUUCCUCUUACUUUUAAGCCGGGGUUUCUCAGCCUCGGCAUUACUGACGUUGGGCCGGAUGCCGGGAGGUUUCUGUACACAGUGGGAUAUUUAACAGCAUCCCAGGGGGGCAAAAUGGCCCCAUGGAGAACGCUUGUUGUGCGUUCCCCACCUCCCCUGGGUUUGUACCUUAGCUCUGAACUGCACGCCUCAUCCCCAGAACGCUGGAUCCUCUGCUCUCAACUCUUGUCAGUGGCUCUGCUCCCAGGAGGGCAGAAAGCACCAGCCGACCAAACUACAUUCUCCUUGGAGCUUCCCCACUUCACCCCCCGGAAAUCAGUAGGAAGGGCCUGCGUACCCUGCAAGGCCGUGGCGGAGCUGUUUUAGGAGAAGCUGUGCUGCUGUGUGUCAGAGGGCGCUCGAGUUGACGGUGGCGUGGGGAGAGGCUAAAAAGGGGGGGAUGGAGUGGACCCUGAUGGCAGGCCUACGGAAGGUGGGUUGACACGAAGGUGGGGGCUGCUGAGAGGGGGUCCUUUGCGUGACAUCCUGUGGGCCCUCGUGGCUCCCUUCUGCCCGUCGGAGACACCCGUUUCCCCCCGAUCAGGGGUGUGCUCGAGGCCAGCCAGGCCAGCGUCAGGCCCGAUUCCGCCGGGACCCCAGAGCAAUGAUGCGGGCCACCAGGCUGUGUCAGUUCUGUGUUGUCUUUCUCUCCGGGAAGGGCCGCAGGCCGACGGCUCAGGCGUGCCCCAGGGAUAACAGGGCCAUGGUGGCAUCGUUCACGUGGCCCCCCCGUGAGCACUGCCGAGAGCCAGCUGUGCCAAGAGGUCGGGGGGCCACAGGCUUGACCUUCCGAGCCAGCUAGGGUCCAGUCCCCACAGCCCACGGGCUCUGCCUAGUGCCUGCCAGCUUCACGCUGGGGACUCAGCCAGAGACCACCGAGGAGGGAGGGACGCUGCCGGGCGCUGCCUGGACUCAGCUAAGCACAUCCGCCUGUGACCCCGCCAUCCUGGAACCCUGAGGGUGGCAUUUCCAUAGGGACGCCCACUGCCUGGGAGAAGGGGAGCAGUCUGGGAGAAACGUCAGGCCAGUAAGUGGCCAGGCCUGGGGUGACGCUUCUGGUGGGCUUGACGUGCCCCAAAGGGCAGGGACAGGGCAGCCCCCCACAGCCAAGGGAGGGGGUCCAAGCUGCCACCUUGUUCCCUAAGAGCCAGGAGGUCUCUGAGGCCGGGCAUGAGCCUAGCACACCCACCCGCAUCACCUGCUCAUGCAGAAUCCCAGGUGUGCUGCAGGUAGAGGAACAGGGAGGACCCCACUUCAGCCUCACCGCUGGGGGUGUGCUGGCAGCCCGUUGAAACGCCAGACCCCCUGGAGAGGCGCCCCAGAUCACAAGGGGGCUGGUGUCGAGCAGCACGAAGACCGGUGACCAAGCACAACUCCGUAGGGUUACAAUUGUCCCCGCGUCUCCUAAGAGGCGUGUUGCUUUUGUCAUUCGUAGCUGAACUUGUUAAAAUAGAUGACCAGCCCUGGGCCCCGUGAGGACCCCACUGCGUGCCAGGGCCUCUGCUGCUCGCGCACAGCAGGACACCUGCCUUUCCUUGCGGCUGGCUCUUUAGAGAGUUCUGUGCAGCCUCCAUCUCCCCGUUCUUCCUCUUCCCAGGGAAAGAACCGGAAAAAUCAGCCUUCCCCGUGGCUCACCACCUCCCCCUCCCCCCCCCACGCCCUCGCCCAUCCCGGGGCUCUGUUCCCUCUGGAUUCCCUUGGCCCGAGGGCCUGUGAGUCACCGCUGAGGCUGCAGAGAUGAGACAGGAAGAGACUGUUGACCAGGCUGAUGUUCUGUGUUCCAUCCUAUUCCCCUCGGACGUUUCGACCUCCCGUUUCUGUUUGUUUAUUUAUUUUUAUUUUAUUUAUUUUAUUUUUGACUGUGUUGGGUCUUCGUUGCUGCACGCGGGCUUUUCUCUGGUUGCGGCGAGCGGGCGCUACUGUUGGUUGUGGUCCGCGGGCUUCAGUAGUUGUGGCGCGCUGGCUCAGUAGUUGUGGCUCGCGGGCUCUAGAGCGCAGGCUCAGUAGGUGUGGCGCACAGGCUUAGCUGCUCCGCGGCAUGUGGGAUCUUCCCGGACCAGGGCUCGAACCUCUGUCCCCUGCAGUGGCAGGCGGAUUCUUAACCACUGCGCCACCAGGCAAGCCUCCUGCUGCUGUUUUUAUGUACAGUUUACGAAGGAAAACGCACACAUGCAGCAUCCCUCGCGUUCUCUGAAAAGUCAGCUUUAGGAUUCCUUUGAGUUUAAUACACCUUUUUUACUUAGACUUUUGUUUUGUGAAUAGUGUCACAAUUUUAAUCGAAUUUUUCUUUCCUAAACAUCUUUUCCAACUUUCCCAAAACAGCAUGAGGCAGAUAAUAAGUUAUCCUGAAUCAGGAUAGAGUGGGGAGUUGCCUUGCCGUUUAGCGUUGUGCUCUACGCUAGCCUGCUUUUUAAAUACGAUUUAAUAUAGAAGAAUGUAACAGGUAAAAAGCACAGCAUAUAAUAUACAUCAUAUAUUGUACAGUUGUAGUUAAUUCUCUUUAUACUGUUCUGUGUUCAGCUUUUUAAAUUUUGCAUUCUGUCGGGUGAAGCUACACCCGACCCGUUGGAGGAUUUCAGGGCAUCGUUGAGAUGGUCAUCGUGCUCCCUGGCUCGGGCCCUGGCCGCGUUCCGUGGUGGAUGAUUCAUUUCUUCCAGAGACGUGUAAGCAGGCCCAGCCCUGCCGCCAGCUGGAUCUGGGACGUGGGGUCCUUCGCUGUCUUGAAGCUUCAGUUCCUCAGCUGUAGGAUAAGGACAGUGGCGGUUGAGAGAACUCACGAGAGCGUGACCACGAGCCGCCGAGGUCUGGGCCUCCCUCCCCACAGAGGUCACUUCCUCCGGGAAGGCCCAGGCCUGCCCGUCUCCCACCCCAGGCCUGAGACGUGCAUCCUUCCCAGUGUCCCCAGCUCCUCCUGUCUCACGAGUCGGCUGGGUUGCUAUGUCCUUUUCUCAGCUCUCUCCUCCCCGGCAGACUGCGGGCUCUCUGGGGGCCGCGCCUGGUCCAGUUGCUAGUGGACCCUGCCCCUGGCACACGGGAGGCCCUCAAGCACAAAGGAGGGCCCUGGACUCUUCAACCUUUACUUGGACGUUGCAGUAAGUGGCGUCUCUUUGGCUCUGUGCCCGCUCUUGCAUUUUGCCGAGUUACCUGUACAGGAAACCAGCAAGGACCACUGGCCCUCAUGGGGUGGAAUCAGGUCAGCCCGUCACCCAGAUGGGUUCUGGUCCCUCGAGGACGUUCUCAGAGCUUCUCUGAAACAGUAGCUGUUAAGCUAUUCAAACCUCCUCUGGGUGAGCGAAGCACGCCGGGCUGGAAUUGAGGGUGGCUGAUGGUACCUUGGGUCGGCGGUUCUCAAGAUGUGGCCGCCAGACGCAGUGUCAGCACCCCUCGGACCCGUUAGCAGUGCUGCUUCUUGGGCCUCCCACACCCGACUGAGGCCGAGCCUUGGGGUGGGGCCCCGCUGUCUGUCCUGAGAGCCGUCUGGGUGGUUCUGAUACGCCCCAAAGUUUGAGAAGCUCUGCCUUCGAUAAAGCGAUGCAAUUAGUGUGUCUCAUUAGAGAGGUGAAGAAUGACCUUUACAGUAAUAUUCCCGAUUAGAAUAGUAGGGCCUUUUCCUGCUCAAAUGCCUGAGGAGACAAUGGCUUGUUUCCGUAACAAAUGUGAAUAUUAUCAUACCCUUCAGGCUGAGUGAACCUGCUUGUUGAGGAGCCGCCCCCGUCACGGGCGCCCCUCCUCAUAGGAGCCUGGCCGGGGCCGCCACAGCCCCGAGGGUCAGCCUCCUGGCACACAGCAGAUGCUCAGUUACUGGGGUUAAUGGUGAAUGAGUGAGUGAACAAAUGAAUGGAUGGAUGAAUGAACGAAUGAUUGAGUGGAUGGACGGAUGGACGGAUGGGUGGAAUUAGCCCUACUUCACAGUAACAUUUGAAAAUACAGAUUCUUUUGAACCUAGAACAAGAUUAUUAAACAUCUUUGAUGGUUGCUGGGGUGUCAGUGCAGAUUUUCCAGAAAGCUGUUGCCAGCAGGAUCUAAUCUGGCAAAGGUGUCGACUCCUGAGGUGUCCAUUCUGAUCCGCCCCCCUCCACCUUGGCCGGUUUGGUCAGUGACCUUAUCCACCGUUGAUGUAACAGGAGUUGGAAGGAGAAAUAAAGCAGAACUUUCAGUCCUUUCCUGAUCACGCUUACAGUCGUUCCCUCUUCCAACUCCUCCUUUGUCGACUUUUCCCCCCUCAUGUUUCUCCAUUGACUCGUUUUGUGAUGCCGGCACUUGGAAAUAAUCUUUGGAUGAUCCUAGCGGUGGCCUUUGGACGGCACGUUGCCAGUGCCCCGGGCUUGCACUCCCUAAAACGACUUUCACCGUGUCCAGGGAAGUUCUGCUAAGGUUGAUGGCACACUACCAGGGGCUGAAGUAACUUGGAGCAGCUUUGUGGAACAUUCUCCUGUGCAGUUUCUCUGUUGGGGAGCAGGGUUUGGACUAGAGGAAUUUAGGUGUAUUCAUGUACCCUGCCAGGUGCAAUAAAUAGCUGUCUUUGCCUGACCUUAACCUCACCUAAGUGCUGUGGUUCUAAAAAGCCUAGCACACACCAGGAGGAGCUGAAAACAUUAGGAGGAGAGUGAUGCUGGUGUAACAUGUCGGAGGCGGGUUGGGCCUGCAGAUGGAAAUUAAAACGAUUAAAUGUUGGAGAUGUGCCUUGUAAACCAGAAAGCUUAGCUAGACUGAGCAUUGAAAGAAGGCAUAACCUGUUCUAAGCAAUUUUUUUUUGUUUUUUUUGUUUUGUCUUGUUCUGUUUUUUUGCGGUACGUGGGCCUCUCGCUGUUGUGGCCCCUCCCGUUGCGGAGCACAGGCUCCGGACGCGCAGGCUCAGCGGCCACGGCUCACGGGCCCAGCCGCUCCGCGGCACGUGGGAUCCUCCCGGACCGGGGCACGAACCCGUGUCCCCUGCAUCGGCAGGCGGACUCCCAACCACUGCGCCACCAGGGAGGCCCCUAAGCAAUUUUUUGUUUACUAAACUACAGACUUUGUACAGAUUUCCCAGUUUUUGACUAAAGUCUUCUUUCUGUUCCAGGAUCCAUUCCAGGAUCCCACAUUGCGUUUUGUCAUUGUGUUGCCUUUGUCUCUUCCAAUCUGUGAUGGUUUCCAGGCACUUUGGAAGAGUGUCAGCUGUGCAUUCAGUAGAAUGUUCCUCAGUUUGGAUUUGCCUGACUAGACUGAGGUUGUGGAUUUGGGGAAGAGUUCGGAGGUGCCCUUUUGCUCAUAUCACAUCAGGGGCACAUGACAUCAGCAUGACAUCCCUGACGACGUCAGCCCUGACCGCUGACCUAAGGUGGGGUCUGCCAGGUUCCUCCACUGCAGAGUUACUGUUUUCUCUUUCCCUGCUCUGUCCUCAGGAAGCAAGUCCCUAAAUCCAGUCCAUCUCAGGGGAGGGGACUUCUGUUCCUCGUCCUGGAGGGAGGGGUAUCAAAGAAUGUGUGGUCCUAGGUUGAAACCAUCACAGUCAUUAGCAAAUUCGGAGAGCGAUACUUUGAUGCUAUGCAGAUAUCCUGGGUCACCCUAAAGCUCAUCGGUGGGUGCGUCAUUCUU